GGCAGACCCGCACAAAGAAUUGUCCCGCCCAGGAUGCCCAUUGUUACUCCAUUGAGAAGCACUGUUUUUCAUUUUGCCAGUGAGAAUAUUGAGGUACACCGUGACUGGCAUAUAGUAGGUACUCAAUAAAUACCUGUUGUCGGAUGAAUGACAUUGUCCAAGAAUUUGGUUCUUUACCUCAGCCCUCAAGUCCUGGAGAAGUGAAGAAAAUGAGGGCAGGGAGUAGGCAAAUUGUAAACUCAGAAGGGUGAGCGAAGCUUCUUGUCUUACGUAGAGCCCUCCCCCAGCCCACCACAGGGUAAAUGUGAGUAGACAACACAGAGUAGCCUCUCUCUUCCGCUUGGGAAAGAACAGCCCUGCACGAGCUGAAGAUAAUGGCUGAUUUCUGUGACUUGUUUAUAAAGCACUCCACGUUUUCUGCUUCAUCCUCCUGGCAACACUGAGAGGUUUGUUUCCUUUUUGUAGAUGUGAUAGUGAAGUCCAGAGAAUUUAAAAGGAGCUUGGGCAACAGAGGAAACUCAAGUCUGGUUGACAGUAAAAUGCCCUGUUUUUCAGGGGUUCUCCAUAGUGUUGGUCCAGAGAGGGAGAAGUCUGGAGCAAGCCUGAGCUUCCAGUCCCGCAGGAGAAGGUUGUGGACAGAUGAGGGAUGGAUAGAACAGGGUGCCUGGCUGAGCUCCCUCGGUCAGUACUGUUUACCCUCCACCAAAUGCACCCAAGGGAAGACAGUGAGCCUAAUUCCUAUUCAAAGGGUUUGAGACACAAUUAAGAUCACGAGAUGCCUGCCAUCCUGCCUCCAGGAGUCCGUGCUACAGAAAUUCCAUCUCCAGCACCAGCACAUGAACGUUUAUGACAAGGAAGUUCACUGUGCCAGGGUUUGGAACAACAAGAAAUUGGGAAAAAAUCUAAGUGCCUUCUGUGGGGAUCAGUUACCUAAGCUGGGGUACGCCUAUGUGGUAGAUCCCAUGAAGCUUUUGAAAAAGAGAGAAGAAUCGGGAAAUUGAAAUACCAAAUCUUGACAGCUGUGAAAUCUGCUGUUGAAGGGAGAGUUUCUUGAGGCCAAGUGAGGACACAGAAGGUAGCUGUCUAUGUGACUGGAAGAGUGCCCCAACUAGGAACCAAAUCAACUGGCACCUUGAUUUUGGACUUCCCAGCCUCCAGAACUGUGAGAAAUAAAUGUCUGUUGUUUAAGGAAAAAAAAAAGAAAGAAAGAAAGAAAGUCUCCUCUGUUCUCUCACAUGGCAUGGACUUCCCAAGCUGCAAGGGGUCCGUCUCCCAGAAGGCCUCCAUCUGGCCCCAGCCUCCAGCCAGUCAAGAGGAGCCCUGAAAAAGAGAGAGAGACAGCCAGCGAGAGAGGGAACACAGACAGGGAGAGUGGGAGAGG